AGUAUGAGAGAGUUAUUUGUCAAAAACUGAAGUUUUGGUGGACAACCAAGACAUUUUUUCUGUGAACAACUUGGUCAAGAACCGAAUUGUUUGAGAUGGGAGACAUUGGAGAACAGAGGUUUGACU